UUCAUUAUAUUUACAAUCCAAGGUAUAUCGUGCAAAAGAAAGAAUAGACAUGGAACUACAAAAGUCAGAACAAUCAGGAUCAAGUGAGCCUAAAGAACCUAAAACAUAACAUAAACAAAUUAGUUGCUGUGUUUUCAUCUAAAGUCCAGUCUGUGAUUUAGUGCUCCUGUACACGAGAUGUGGAAAAAAAGACUAUGUGGGCAUUUCAUGAUCAAGACUCAUUCCUACAUGUAGCUUUGAAUUAUGGGCUGAAUGUAAUGAACCACUUUAAGGUCUUCAUUGGUGACUGUUUAGAAAGUGUGUCAUAUGAGUGGAUGUCUUUCAUCAGUGCAUGCAUGAUCCUCAUCAGAUGAGGAUUUUUAUUAGUGUUAUUCUUGAGUACAGGACUUUGCAUGUUAUAAUGACAUUAAACAACAAUGUUGAUACCCUAUAGAAUCAGUAUCUCAGGAAAAUAUCAGUAAUUGAAUAAUGAAUAACAAAUAACAUGUAUAUUUUUCUGAUUUUAAAGGUUAGAGUCCAAAGUUUAAAUGUAAUGGAAAUACUUUUUUGCCAUCUUUUAUUUUCAUCUGGAGUUGGUUUUGUUGAUAAGAAAAAUAGAAAAUAUUUGUACAUUUCUUUACUAGCAUUUGAAAGACCAACAAAAAAUUUCGUUUCACCCUAUCCCAGUUAUAUGACAGACAAAGCAUAUCUGCUUCAUUUGCAUUUUUAUGAACAGAAAAAUCAACUAUCUUUCUUCUGUAUCCAGCAGUUAUAUUUUCUUGCAACUUUGAAAAUAAAAAUUGUUUCCCAAAGGUCCAAAUUAGUAACAAGCAAAUAAUUUUUCUAAAGUAGCUCUAAAGCAAAUAAAAUUAAUCAGUAUUUUUUAUUGAGGAAUUCAAGAAUGAUUUAAAACACCACAUACGUAAAAUAUAUCAAACAUGUUUUCUGUUUAUAUCUGAUUUAUUGUUGUCAUUUACAUCAACAUACAUUUUAUACAUGUACAAUGUAUA
rnacentral:misc_RNA from 1 species